GUAACUCUUCAACCCUUUGAAGAAUUUUUGAUGAAACUUCAGACAAAUGUUUACCACAUCAAGAUGACGUGCAGAACGCAUGUUCCGCAUGGCUGGCUCCAAGGUCAAGGUCACAGUGACAUUAACAUUGAAAAUCCUGUUUACAUGAUUUAACUGUCAAACGAAAUUGUGUCCGCUCUGUAACUCUUCAACCCUUUGAAGAAUUUUGAUGAAACUUCAGACAAAUGUUUACCACAUCAAGAUGACGUGCAGAACGCAUGUUCCGCAUGGCUGGCUCCAAGGUCAAGGUCACAGUGACAUUAACAUUGAAAAUCCUGUCCGCUCUGUAACUCUUCAACCCUUUGAAGAAUUUUGAUGAAACUUCAGACAAAUGUUUACCACAUCAAGAUGACGUGCAGAACGCAUGUUCCGCAUGGCUGGCUCCAAGGUCAAGGUCACAGUGACAUUAACAUUGAAAAUCCUGUCCGCUCUGUAACUCUUCAACCCUUUGAAAGAAUUUUGAUGAAACUUCAGACAAAUGUUUACCACAUCAAGAUGACGUGCAGAACGCAUGUUUCCGCAUGGCUGGCUCCAAGGUCAAGGUCACAGUGACAUUAACAUUGAAAAUCCUGUUUACAUGAUUUUAACUGUCAAACGAAAUUGUGUCCGCUCUGUAACUCUUCAACCCUUUGAAGAAUUUUGAUGAAACUUCAGACAAAUGUUUACCACAUCAAGAUGACGUGCAGAACGCAUGUUCCGCAUGGCUGGCUCCAAGGUCAAGGUCACAGUGACAUUAACAUUGAAAAUCCUGUCCGCUCUGUAACUCUUCAACCCUUUGAAGAAUUUUGAUGAAACUUCAGACAAAUGUUUACCACAUCAAGAUGACGUGCAGAACGCAUGUUCCGCAUGGCUGGCUCCAAGGUCAAGGUCACAGUGACAUUAACAUUGAAAAUCCUGUUUACAUGAUUUUAAACUUGAUUUGGCAGUCAAAGGUCAUAUCAUCUUUGGAGGUAAUUUAAAAAAGAUAUUAUAUAUUAUUUCAUGUCUACUUUGUAACUUGUUUUUUAUUAUACAGAAUUAUCAAUAUAAUUAUAGUGAACAAAUUCUUCUGUGCUGAACUCGUCCUACAUUUCUCAACGGAUUUUGUUCAAAACUUUCACAGAAGCUUUGUCAUCAAGCACCCUGGCACAUAUUGUCGGGGUUUUGUGAUUGGAUAGUUUUUUGACCUAAUUAUGGCCCUUUGUUUUUUUCCUUAUACAUAAUAUUAUAGUGAACACUUCUUCAGUGGCAAUUCCUCCUACAUUAUUCAUGUUUUACAUUGCACAUAGUUACAUUGUUUGUUGCUUGUAUUUGUAUUUCAAAUACAACAUAUUUAUCUACAAUGGUGAUAAUUGAAAACCUGGUUUCAUGGCAUUGCCAUGUUUCUUGUUAGAAAUUGCGUCAAUUUUUUCUUCUAUUUUUAGAAAUUGCGUCAUUGUUUCUAUUUUUAGUAAUUGCGUCAUUUUUUUCUAUUUUUAGAAAUUGCGUCAUUGUUUCUAUUUUUAGAAAUUGCGUCAUUUUUUUUUCUAUUUUUAGAAAUUGCGUCAUUGUUUCUAUUUUUAGAAAUUGAGUCAUUUUUUUCUAUUUUUAGAAAUUGCGUCAUUUUUUCUAUUUUUAGAAAUUGCGUCAUUGUUGCUAUUUUUAGAAAUUGCGUCAUUGUUUCUAUUUUUAGAAAUUGCGUCAUUUUUUUUUCUAUUUUUAGAAAUUGCGUCAUUGUUUCUAUUUUUAGAAAUUGCGUCAUUUUUUUUCUAUUUUUAGAAAUUGUGUCAUUUUUUCUAUUUUUAGAAAUUGCGUCAUUGUUGCUAUUUUUAGAAAUUGCGUCAUUGUUGCUAUUUUUAGAAAUUGCGUACUGUUGCUAUUUUUAGAAAUAUGCUUAAUGUUUCUAUUCAUAUAUAUACAAAAUAUAUAAACAAAACUAAUGUGACAAGACAGACCAACUAAAUUUAUAAAAAGGAAACAUCAAUAUAUGUUCAAACCUUUCUAUGUUUGCGUUUAGAAAAAGUAAAAAGUCGAGCGUUGCCCCCGCCCGGCGGUGGCUCUUGUUUU